UACGGAGGGUGCAAGCGUUAUUCGGAUUCACUGGGUUUAAAGGGUGCGUAGGUGGGCAGUUAAGUCAGUGGUGAAAUCUCCGGGCUCAACCCGGAAACUGCCGUUGAUACUAUCUGUCUUGAAUAUAGUGGAGGUGAGCGGAAUAUGUCAUGUAGCGGUGAAAUGCGUAGAUAUGACAUAGAACAUCGAUUGCGAAGGCAGCUCGCUACGCUAUUAUUGACACUGAGGCACGAAGGCGUGGGGAUCAAACAGG
rnacentral:rRNA from 1 species